CCAAAAACUUAGCCCUACUAAACCCGUAUCACCCUACAAUUCUGCCCAUAAACCAAAAUAUUUCAAGAACCUAGUAAAGAAGAUUGAAAAAUAAAUUAGAGCUAUUCAAGUACCGCAAGGGAAAAAUGAAAUAAUAAUGAAACAAUGCAAGCACAACAAAAUAGAGUUUCACCCUCGUACCUUUUGCAUCAUGAUUUAACUAGUCUUAUCAAGCAAAAAGACUUCAAGUUUGACAUCCCGAAACUAAGUGAGCUACUUCGAGGCAGCUUAAAGAGCAAACCCGUCUCUGUUGCAAAAGAGUGGGAAGACCUCCAAGUAGAAGUGACAAACCUACCGAACUUAGUGAUAGCUGGUUACUCAAUAAAAGAAUUUUAGUUCGACCUAAAGACACAACAAUUUAUAAAAAUAAACCUGACUUUAGAGCAAUUCAAAUAAGGUACAGCUUAUUUGAAACAGGACACAACCUACGCCGAUGGGUAAUUUCCCCCUCCCCUCCCCCAAAGUGGGCCUAAGGGCAGCCACCUUUAAAAAUGCGUUAAAGCCUAUUAACAAUUUUCCCCACGAUCCCUCUCCACAUUAAGAACCCUCCACCACCACUGAGUAAUUCUAUACUUAUAUAGAAAAUUUUAUGUUAAAACUAGUAACAAGAAGUAGACCUUCUCUUAUAUAUAAACAUAAGCCAGAAAGGACCCCCCACUGGCAAUUAACGGCUCUAGCCCCAAUGACACCAUAUCAAGAAAACCCCAUUUUUUUAACCGUUAACCUGACACAAGGAUAUAUCAAGAAAGAUUAAAAGGAAGAGAAGGAACUCGGCAAACCCAAAUCCCGCCUGUUUACCAAAAACAUCGCCUCUUGUAUUAUAUAAGAGGUACGGCCUGCCCAGUGACUCACGUUCAACGGCCGCGGUAUACUAACCGUGCAAAGGUAGCAUAAUCACUUGUUUCUUAAAUGGAGACUAGUAUGAAAGGCUUCACGAGGAUUUAACUGUCUCCUCUCCCCAAUCAGUGAAACUAAUCCCCCCGUGAAAAAGCAGGGAUAAACCUAUAAGACGAGAAGACCCUAUGAAGCUUCAAAUAAUAUAACAACUGCCCCAUAAUUCAACUUUCAGAAAACUACCUAUUGGCAUCUUGAUUAUAAGUUUUUGGUUGGGGCGACCGAGGAGAAAAAAAUAUCCUCCAUAAUGAAACACCUAAAGUCUAAACUAAGAAAAACAGCUCUACGAAUCAAUAAAUUGACAUCAAUUGACCCAAGUAUUUGAUCAAUGAACCAAGUUACUCUAGGGAUAACAGCGCAAUCUACUUUAAGAGUACAUAUCGACAAGUAGGCUUACGACCUCGAUGUUGGAUCAGGAUAUCCCAGUGGUGCAGCAGCUACUAAAGGUUCGUUCUCAA
rnacentral:rRNA from 1 species